UCCCUGGUGGUCCAGUGGUUAGGACUCCAUGCUUUUAUUGCCAGGUUCCAGGUUCAAUCCCUGACCAGGGAA